rnacentral:lncRNA from 1 species
GUGAGAUGCUUCAGCUAUGUCACUGGCCCGGAUGAGUGAGGCGAUGCAAGCCGGAAGCGUAAUUUCACUGAGCACAACGUGAUAUGAACAUGUGACUGAGUUCUCGCCAAGUCUGGCUUUGAAAAAUGUCUCCCAGCAUUGCGUAUACCCUUUCUGCUCGAUAUUGGGCUGGCGUUGAAAACCUUAUCUCUGAAUGAUUGCUGUGACACAGAGGUCUCCCCUUCCCCUAAGGAUCAUCCUGCCCCUCCCACCAAAGGCAUUUGCUUGGGACUCUUAAGCAGGCUUUUGUAAGUCACCCCUCUGCUUCAUGAAGAACACACUGGGGUGGGAUAUCACACUGUGAAAAAUACAUAACUGGAAUUUGAAUAGUAAACCAGCAGAUCGGGAGCAACAUCUGGAGGGCCCAUAUAUGCCUGGGGAGAGAAGGAGAGGUGCUGGCACGCCCACAGGG